AUUCUCUAUCUGUGUAUCGUUCACAGGACAUAUACAACAGAUACAAGAACCAGAUUGUAAAGGAUCAAAGGUAUUUGUAUACUAAAGAAUAGGGGAUUACUCAUGUAAGAUUUCCAUUGGCAAAGAUGAUGACGGCAUGUUGCAAAGGCAACACCUCUCAGGCUGCAAUUGUCUCCUGGUCCAUUAUGUUGUUGAGUGUGGCAGCACCUUAAGUUAAUUAUUGGGUGACAAACUGAAUUUGCCAACCUGUGGCAAGACCACAUAAAUGUUUCUCAAUUGCAAGGUAAGAAACACCCCCUAAAGUCUACACAUUAUUCAAGUCCAAAUCAUCAACUGCAAUAGUUAAGUUAGACGAUAGAUGCGCAAGGGGGAUGUAAAUUGAUAGUAUUCAGUAAAUACAUCUAUACAUGUAAUGUUAAAUAUUGUCUGUUUAUCAUGUUAAAUGUGUUAGAAAACCAAAUGAGCUCCCAUUAAAGAUAGCCUUCAAUAGUUUAAUAGUGAUUAUGUAUGGAACUCUAGGCCCCUGCAAGGUCCCCUGAGCACUGGGCCCUCUAGCACUAUUACAACACAAUUGUUUAAUGAACUUUCAUCGUGCAAGAGCAAUUUGAGGGUGGAUCAAUGCAACCCAUGGAAAAAGCAUUCUGCCAUUACUGACCUGGUUAUAGUAUAAAACUCGACAUUCCUCUUAACUUGAUGGUGAAGCAUUUCAACAGAUUGCUAUGAAAGGAAGGGUCCAUAGCUAAUGGAUUAUGGAUGAUUGCAGUACUUCAUGAACCCACAUCUUGAAAGGGAGCCAAGCCUCAGCAGUUGGAGCUCACUGCAAAAUAAAUUCUUUCACCUUUGUAUAUGAUAUUCCAUCAUUUCACAGAGACAAUCAGGUAUGUUGUCACUUGAUGAGUUCUUUUGUGCUUUGAAUGGAUACAAGUUGUAUCAUAGCAUACUGCCUAAACUUUUCAAGAUGAAUAUUAUAGUUUCUACUGUUCCAAGAUGAGUUGAAUCUGUAAGCUGAGGGAAACCAUUAUAUUCUUACUAAAUGUAUUUACUUUGCCUUAAGCUUUCUAUCAUCUUCCCAAUGGCAGCUGACCAAGUCUCGGAUGUAAACAAAGUUUUCUUUAGGCAUGUUGUUUGAUUCGAGGUUUAGGAUGGAACUGUCCAAUGAUGAAAUUCGAGACCUGAUAAUCCUGCUUUAACCCCUCAAUCCAAAUUUCCUUCCUCACCAUGGCAGGGACAAGAUGGUGUAGGUGCCAGCUAAAUUAGGAUUCUUUUUGGCAGAAAAUAUUUCUGUGAGAUGCUUUGGCCAAGUGAUCUUCCCCUGCCAUUGCCAGCGAGGUAUGGAUCUCCCCAGCCCGGCCCAAAACCUACCUUCUAGAUUGGUUAUUGAUUAGCAAAAAGUCUCUCAUGGUGGACCACAUCCAGCGUGGGGGAAUACACUUCACUGACAUAUACAAAUGUAUCAUGUACAAAACUGGAGACUGGAGACUAAACUGGUGUUUGAAUAUUUUUGAGCCCACCAAAUCUCUUGAGGUGUCUUCCCAACAUGUAUGGCAUGAAGCCAAUGCUAUCGUGGAUAGCCUCACCAAAGAGGGAGCUUCCCAAACAAAUCUUGUAACCUUGGUCUAGUGGGCAGUCCCUUUUUGUUUAUUUUUUGUACAAUUUUGUCUCUGUUUUUUAUUAAUUAACUGUUUAAGAGGUCUGGUUUUACACUUGUUAUAAGUAAUCCGAAAGAGUGAAUAAAGAAAAAACGAAGUAUUUUCUUUCCUUGUGGAACUUGCAUAAUAUCUACAGUUGACUUUAUCAUUUGCCUGUUGUUCAUGAAAAUGGGAAUGGAUUUUGAAAUAGUAUUAAUUUCUGGAAGUAAAUCUUAGGUUUUGUAAAGAAAUAUUGGUUUUACUUCUGGGAAUAAUCACAGAAAAAAAAAAGCAAAGCAAAGCCUCUAACAUAGUUUGGAAGUAAAAAGAUGCAUUUUAUCUGUUAGCAAAAUGGCUAGAACUCCUUGAAUAUUUUGAGACCCUCAUUUCUAGUAGACAAGCAUUAAAAUAAUUAGUUUGUGUAUUUUUCUUAUCAGUGGAUGGAGGCCAAAAUCUAUGCAGUGAUUAUCUACGUGGCCAGUAAUUUCCAAGAUGCUUUUC